rnacentral:rRNA from 1 species
GACGAACGCUGGCGGCGUGCUUAACACAUGCAAGUCGAACGAUGAACCCGGAGCUUGCUCCGGUGGAUUAGUGGCGAACGGGUGAGUAACACGUGAGUAACCUGCCCUUGACUCUGGGAUAACUGCUAGAAAUGGUAGCUAAUACCGGAUACGACCCUCGGAGGCAUCUCCAGGGGGUGGAAAGAAUUUCGGUCAAGGAUGGACUCGCGGCCUAUCAGCUAGUUGGUGAGGUAAAGGCUCACCAAGGCGACGACGGGUAGCCGGCCUGAGAGGGUGACCGGCCACACUGGGACUGAGACACGGCCCAGACUCCUACGGGAGGCAGCAGUGGGGAAUAUUGCACAAUGGGCGCAAGCCUGAUGCAGCAACGCCGCGUGAGGGACGACGGCCUUCGGUUGUAA